UGUUGAUGAGUGCCACAAGGUUCCUGCAUACAAAAAGGAAUGUUUAUUGUGUUUCUUUUGCAAUGGUGGUAUUUACAGGAGAAGUGACAAAUCGGGAAGUGUCUGAAUCAAAACUGUGACUCCUGAUCUGUUGCUGGAUGAAGACAUUGACAAGUACUUCCUGACUUUGAGAUCCUUGAACAGCUUGCUUGCUCACUGGUUGCUGGUAGGGCUGAAUAGCCACUCAGAAUGAAAGGAGGCCCACAAAAUGAAUAGGCUCAUUCUAAAGCCAGUGUAGCCAGAUGCCCUUUUGGACCCUCAAAUCUGAAAUGCAUGGAAUGUGCUUAAAUGUCUUUAUGUACAAAUGCAACUGGGACAACUUCUUGCGGUCCUACAAUUCCCUACUGGAAUGCUCCUUCACCAGAAAUAUAUUGAUGUGAUUUUUAAUUCUGCAGCCCGAGGGGAAGAGGGAAAUCAUAGCUCUUUUUAUGUUUCUGGUGCACAGGUACCUAUAAAAAGAAUGCAUGGGAAGAGACAAUCCAGACAUAGUCUGAGCUAUCUGUGGAGUUUGGGACAGAUAGAGACUCAAAGUUCUACCUUAUUUUCAGUUUUUAGCAACCUCAAUGAAUUGGUGAUAUUUUAGGAGGUACGUGGAUGAAAUGAAACAGUAUUUGCAUAUUAAAAUAAAAGUAAUCAGUGCCACCCUUACUUAAUUAGAGUAACAUAAGCAAGAAUCUUAAAGGAGGAUGUUCAUUUGUUUUUUAAAAAACCUCAACACAUUUAAGCUUUACAGAUUUGAAGGUUUUCAUUAUCUCUUGAGGAAUUGAAAUGGUCUUUUGUCUCAGAUUAUCAAUAUUCCCACUGUGUCAUAAAUUCACUAACUUUACGCCAAAAUAUAGCAGAUUUGAACAACUAUGUUUUAGGAAUAGAUGGCUACAACAACCAUAAAAGGGGCAAUUUGGGGAUUGGCUGGUUUUUACUCUAAUGGGGUAGCAAAAGUAUUCACUCUGCCAUUUGUUACAAUAAAAGUUCUAGCAAUCAGGGGCAGGGGGAAAAACAAUAAUUUUAUAGGCCUCAUGCUUAAUGAUGCAGAGCAUAAAAUGAACCUGUUGGGCUUGACACCGCUCCUUUCAUUUGGCAGAUUCCACUUGGAUAUGUGCAAAAGAAAACCUAACAAAAUACUCAUUCCUAAAUGGUAUGGGCAGUUGCUUAAUUUCCUGUCUGUCAUACACAGGAAGAAAAUUUAUGUAUUCUGUCUGGCCUGUCUUUCCCUCUUGGGAAUCGCAAGUUGAAUGUGAAUAAAUGUUGCUACCUGGCAGAGGUAUGCUUACUCA